rnacentral:lncRNA from 1 species
GUUCUCUUGUUGUUAAUGGCUUUUAAAUCCAUUAUGAAAUAUUAUUCAUCUAUCAGUUAUUACAAUUCCAUCUGUUUUCUGGUCAGAUUCUGGGCGUCGUUUUGGUAAGUUUAGGCUACUAAAUUUACAAAGCCGGAUCUUAAUCUUCUUCGUUACCAACACCGAAAAGUCCAUUGAUGAUGAAUCAACUUGGAAAAAAUGACCCAUCAUAUGUAUGGGUAUCAUCUUGCAUCAGUUGCAAUAAAUACACUUUUUGUUUAAUAUGAGACUUAGGUUCGUCAGCUAUGCUAGAGUCUGUUCUAAUAGUAAGGCUUCUUGUUACGCUGAGGAAACAUUGUAAUUAGAAUGGUUGUUACUGCGGAUCGUCUUAAUAUAUGCCUCAAACAAAACUGCCCAUUCUGUUUUAAGUGAUUAGGAUUUUGAAGUCACUACUGUAGAGGGGCAAAUAAAAGCAACAGUAGUAUACUGCUGUUCAAAAAUCAUAAAUCGAUAGAGUAAAAACAAAUCCGGGUUACAAACUAAAACUGAGGGAAACGUAUCAAAUAUAAGAGAACUACGACAAAACAGAGACACAACAGAGACACAACAUGUUUUCUGAUCUGUGCUGCCGUACGCGUCCGUCAGUCCAUCCGUUAAUACUAGGUUUAUGUUGUUUGUUAUCGUAGAUUAAAUUACAAUGGAGUUGUGUUCACGUCAACUUGAAACUAUAUACAUGUUCAUUUUGACAUGGUCUUUUUUAAAUAUAAGCCAAAUUAGGAAUUUAGUGAGCAUGACAAUUUGAUAUUUUAAGCGAUUCAUACUGUCCUAUUCUUUAUACUUUAUUUUAU